AUUGAACGCUGGCGGCAGGCCUAACACAUGCAAGUCGAACGGUAACAGGAAGAAGCUUGCUUCUUUGCUGACGAGUGGCGGACGGGUGAGUAAUGUCUGGGAAACUGCCUGAUGGAGGGGGAUAACUACUGGAAACGGUAGCUAAUACCGCAUAACGUCGCAAGACCAAAAAGGGGGACCUUCGGGCCUCUUGCCAUCGGAUGUGCCCAGAUGGGAUUAGCUAGUAGGUGGGGUAACGGCUCACCUAGGCGACGAUCCCUAGCUGGUCUGAGAGGAUGACCAGCCCCACUGGAACUGAGACACGGUCCAGACUCCUACGGGAGGCAGCAGUGGGGAAUAUUGCACAAUGGGCGCAAGCCUGAUGCAGCCAUGCCGCGUGUAUGAAGAAGGCCUUCGGGUUGUAAAGUACUUUCAGCGGGGAGGAAGGGAGUAAAGUUAAUACCUUGGCUCAUUGACGUUACCCGCAGAAGAAGCACCGGCUAACUCCGUG
rnacentral:rRNA from 1 species